GAAAUAAUCAUCAACUAAUUUAGUUAUCGAUCCAUUAUUAACUGGACUAUACAAGCUCAAAAAAGGCACUUUAUU